rnacentral:rRNA from 1 species
UCCGUAGGCGGGCGACUAAGUCAGAGGUGAAAUCCCACAGCUUAACUGUGGAACUGCCUUUGAUACUGGUUGUCUUGAGUUAUAGUGAAGUAGAUAGAAUAUGUAGUGUAGCGGUGAAAUGCUUAGAUAUUACAUAGGAUACCGAUUGCGAAGGCAGUCUACUAACUAUAUACUGACGCUAAUGGACGAAAGAGUGGGGAGCAAACAGGAUUAGAUACCCUGGUAGUCC